UAUCGACAGGCUUAACACAUGCAAGUCGAGGGGCAGCACAGGUAGCAAUACCGGGUGGCGACCGGCGCACGGGUGAGUAACGCGUAUGCAACUUGCCUAUCAGAGGGGGAUAACCCGGCGAAAGUCGGACUAAUACCGCAUGAAGCAGGGGCCCCGCAUGGGGAUAUUUGCUAAAGAUUCAUCGCUGAUAGAUAGGCAUGCGUUCCAUUAGGCAGUUGGCGGGGUAACGGCCCACCAAACCGACGAUGGAUAGGGGUUCUGAGAGGAAGGUCCCCCACAUUGGUACUGAGACACGGACCAAACUCCUACGGGAGGCAGCAGUGAGGAAUAUUGGUCAAUGGCCGAGAGGCUGAACCAGCCAAGUUGCGUGAGGGAUGAAGGUUCUAUGGAUCGUAAACCUCUUUUAUAAGGGAAUAAAGUGCGGGACGUGUCCCGUUUUGUAUGUACCUUAUGAAUAAGGAUCGGCUAACUCCGUGCCAGCAGCCGCGGUAAUACGGAGGAUCCGAGCGUUAUCCGGAUUUAUUGGGUUUAAAGGGUGCGUAGGCGGCCUUUUAAGUCGGCGGUGAAAGUCUGUGGCUCAACCAUAGAAUUGCCGUUGAAACUGGGGGGCUUGAGUAUGUUUGAGGCAGGCGGAAUGCGUGGUGUAGCGGUGAAAUGCAUAGAUAUCACGCAGAACCCCGAUUGCGAAGGCAGCCUGCCAAGCCAUUACUGACGCUGAUGCACGAAAGCGUGGGGAUCAAACAGGAUUAGAUACCCUGGUAGUCCACGCAGUAAACGAUGAUCACUAGCUGUUUGCGAUACACUGUAAGCGGCACAGCGAAAGCGUUAAGUGAUCCACCUGGGGAGUACGCCGGCAACGGUGAAACUCAAAGGAAUUGACGGGGGCCCGCACAAGCGGAGGAACAUGUGGUUUAAUUCGAUGAUACGCGAGGAACCUUACCCGGGUUUGAACGCAUUCGGACCGAGGUGGAAACACCUUUUCUAGCAAUAGCCGUUUGCGAGGUGCUGCAUGGUUGUCGUCAGCUCGUGCCGUGAGGUGUCGGCUUAAGUGCCAUAACGAGCGCAACCCUUGCCACUAGUUACUAACAGGUAAAGCUGAGGACUCUGGUGGGACUGCCAGCGUAAGCUGCGAGGAAGGCGGGGAUGACGUCAAAUCAGCACGGCCCUUACAUCCGGGGCGACACACGUGUUACAAUGGCGUGGACAAAGGGAAGCCACCUGGCGACAGGGAGCGAAUCCCCAAACCACGUCUCAGUUCGGAUCGGAGUCUGCAACCUGACUCCGUGAAGCUGGAUUCGCUAGUAAUCGCGCAUCAGCCAUGGCGCGGUGAAUACGUUCCCGGGCCUUGUACACACCGCCCGUCAAGCCAUGGGAGCCGGGGGUACCUGAAGUCCGUAACCGCGAGGAUCGGCCUAGGGUAAAACUGGUGACUG
rnacentral:rRNA from 1 species